GUUGGCUCCCGACGCUGUAGUCCAGGGGAAUGGGGCCACCCUCUCACAUGCUCCAGCAGAGGCCAGUCUCCAGGAGGUAAACCGAGCCCAGCUCAGGAAUCCUUCAAAGACACCAGGGUUGGGGCUGCUUCUGUCCAGUUGAGCAGUUCUUUCUUCUAGAUACCCUGAAAACCAGGGAGGGAGGUGGGCCUGGUGGCGUCCCUCCUCUUACAGUCCAAGAAUGCUGGACUCCUCAGUGGCAGAUGCAAUGACCCGACUGACCCUAAAACUCUUAGAGAAGAAACUGGAGCAAGAGCGUGAGAAUGUGGAAGGGGAUUCUGAGGACCCUCACUUGUGCAGGAAACAGCACCUCCUGGAGGGAGGUGUCCCAGCCCGAGCCCGGAGCGGGGUGAACAGAGGAGGAGCCUGGGGAUCAGCACUGCCCCAGAGGUGGCCCAAGCGGGCAUCCGCCCUGCUGUCUCCCCACCCCCGCCAGCCCUGGAGCCACCACACGUUUAUCAAACACUCAGUCCCCCAGCCUCCUGCCACCAUUAUUCAACAACUACCUCAGCAGCCACUCAUCGCACAGAUUCCCCCUCUCCAGGCCUUCCCCCACUCAAAGGUCAGGAAGUAUUAAGGAAGACAUGGUGGAGAUGAUGCUGAUGCAGAAUGCACAGAUGCACCAGAUCAUUAUGCAAAACCUGAUGCUCAAAGCCCUGCCCUCUGGGGGAUCACAGGCCGCCCCUCUGCAUUCCACCCCACAGAGGCAGAAGCCGCCCUCCGUGCAUCACCACCACCACUAUGCACCCCCAGCCCGGCUGCAGGCCCUCCCCGGCGGGUUACUCCAUGUGGCCCCCAGUGGUCUCAGCCGCCAUCCCCCCACCUGCUUCCGGCUUCCUGCACCACGUGGCCGGCCCCUCCUUGGCAGCCCUUAGUGGGGUGGCAUCUGAUGGCAUCCUGCCCACACAGGCUCCGGGCCUGUGAAACUCCACGUGUGGGCUCGGUAAGCAGCAGGGUCCCAGUUCCCCAGCAGGUGUGGUCGGGGAGGCCCGGCAGAGGCCUGAAGCCUCGGCCCUGGAUGCUGGACUGCCAGGCACGAGGAAAUACAGGGAUUUCACCAGGAGGGAUGGCCCAGUAGCCGCAUAAACCGUUGAACCUUCCUGUGGAAGAAAUACCAGAAACAAGUCAAAUAUGAUGACUGGGAGGUCUGCCUGCCGCGAGCGGCCGAGGUGAGGGCUCCUGCCAGUCUCAAGAAGUGAAGGGACGGCAGUCGGGGAUCUCUCGUGGGAGAGUAUCUUUCCAUGCGGGUCUGCGUGGCUCCUUCUACAAGUCAAAACACAAGUUGAAUGUGGUUCCUCUCGAAGAUGGCUGAGGAAAGGGAGCUUUCUCUGCAUUUGUUCCUUUUGGUUCUGUCAGGGCUUCCGGUGUGAACGUCACCUUUAGUCUUUCUUCAUUUUCUGUGACUUUUUUUUCUUGGGGGAAUGAUGUUCCCUUGACAUGUUAAUAUAAUUUUCACAUGAAUGUCACAUUUAAAUGUUACAGCUGUUUUCAUCUACCCCUUUUGGGAAAACCUAUUUUCCCCAAGUUCUGCACCAGCGAGAGCCCUGCCUCCUUGGACCCUGCAGGCUCGUGGGAUGUUGGCCCGGGGAAGGGGAUCACCACGUGGCGGUCAGGAUGCCUCCAGGGCGGGAGGGCGGCAGGGGCCCCCACCACGUGCCUGGCACACGCAUCUCUUGUGAAAGGCAAUUAAAGGUCUGACUCCAUUGCUGA